CGUGAGGAACCUGCCUUUCAGAGGGGGACAACAGUUGGAAACGACUGCUAAUACCGCAUAACAUAUGUUUGUCGCAUGGCAGAUAUAUCAAAGAUUUAUCGCUGAGAGAUGGCCUCGCGUCUGAUUAGCUAGUUGGUAGGGUAACGGCCCACCAAGGCGACGAUCAGUAGCCGGACUGAGAGGUUGGCCGGCCACAUUGGGACUGAGACACGGCCCAGACUCCUACGGAAGGCAGCAG
rnacentral:rRNA from 1 species